rnacentral:tRNA from 1 species
CGUUGGUCAAGGGGUUAAGACACCGCCUUUUCACGGCGGUAACACGGGUUCGAAUCCCGUACUUAGCA